ACAGGCAGUUUUCUUUCUGCACAACAACACGGCUGAAGGACGGCUUGGUGGAGGCAGACUCCGUUUCCUAAGGGCUUAUCCCAAGUUAGAGUUCAGAGGGAAGGGAAUAGAACGCGACUUGUCCACCAAACAAAAUAUGCGUGUUACUACAGUUGUAUGUAGUGGUCAGGCAAAAAGAAAAUCAGAACUUCCAAAGCUGGAGUGUCAGGUGGUUGUGAACUACUCAACCUGGUUCCUGGGAACCAAACUCAGGUCCUCCGCCAAAGGAGCACAUGCACUUAGCCACUGAGUCAUCUCUGAAGUCCCAGAAACCUCUGAAUGCCCAGGUGACAAGACCAAGGCUGAGAGACUAGGAAAGGGCUAAGAAUCUGAGUCACUGGCUGAGCAAACUACAGGUCAAUGGUGGACCUUCUCAAAAGCAAUACAUAAAUGAUCGAGGAACAAAAGCAUCACAUCAUCAACUUUUGCCCUCCACAACUGCCUACAGAGAAUUGGAGAAUUUCUAUUUACCCAGAAGUAAAUAUUAUGAAGAAAACAUUGGGCUGCUCAAAAGUAGACCUAGGAAAAUGCAGAUGUAGUUUUUGUUAGAAUCAAUUGCACAAUGGACUCUGCAUACUAAUAAGUUGAGAUUUCUUUGAAAUACAGUAUAGAGAUUAAGUUCUUCACAACUCCUCACCUGCCUAGUUGAUCAGCCCAGCCAUUCUUUCCAUUUAUCUUCUGCAAUCAAGAGAAACUCUUCUGGACAAAAAGAUGUCCUCUGCAGAUGGCACCAGUCAAAAGAACCCAGUAAACACCAAACCUUGGUCUGCAGGACAAAACACAACCCUUCCUGAGGGUCAGUUCCUUGGAUGUGACUGGAGUUGCUCCAGAUAUUACAAUUAAAAUAAGGGCAUUCAUUACAUUAUAUUCCCUGUGAAUGUUCAUUAAAGUAAAAGAGGUAGAGGAGGUGAAGGAGGAGGAAGAAGGGGAG
rnacentral:lncRNA from 1 species